AAUCAACGCUGGCGGCGUGCCUCAGACAUGCGAGUCGAACGAUUAAACUUCCCUUCGGGGAAGAUAUAAAGUGGCGCACGGGUGAGUAACACGUAGGUAAUGUACCUUUGGGUGGGGAAUAACUUAGGGAAACUUAAGCUAAUACCGCAUAAUGCAGCGGCUCCUUCGGGAGACAGUUGUUAAAGAUUUAUCGCCUAAAGAGCAGCCUGCGGCAGAUUAGCUAGUUGGUAAGGUAACGGCUUACCAAGGCUACGAUCUGUAUCCGACCUGAGAGGGUGGUCGGACACACUGACACUGAAUAACGGGUCAGACUCCUACGGGAGGCAGCAGUCGGGAAUUUUGGGCAAUGGGCGAAAGCCUGACCCAGCAACGCCGCGUGAAGGAUGAAGUCUUUCGGGAUGUAAACUUCGUAAGAAUAGGAAGAAUAAAUGACGGUACUAUUUGUAAGGUCCGGCUAACUACGUG
rnacentral:rRNA from 1 species